rnacentral:lncRNA from 1 species
GGAAAAAUGUGCUAUACCCUCUGUUAAAUGACACAUUUCUCGAGGUAGAACUAUCGCAAAAAUAUGAUCAAUGGCUCAUUCGAGAGAAGACAUCUUCCCGAUGUAGUGUGGGUGACUUUAUCACAGUGCUACGUCAUACCGGCCGGAUUUCUGCCUGCUCUUCUCCAAUAACUCAGAUGCAUAUGAAAAUACGAAAUGACCCAGUUUACAAUAAUAUAAACAUACAACACGGCUAUCUGUGGAGGAAGUGUGAUGGUAACAAGCAGCCGAAGACAGACCGGAGUCCACAAGUGGGAGAAAGAAAAGGAGCAAGUAGCCUAGGCAGCGAGGGCUGAGGUGUCGUCUUACAGGACGGGAACCCUGCGCCUCAUCUUAAAAGGAAGGGGUGCCACAGCUUGUGGCAACAUGCAUCGUUGUCAAGUGCCCGAUGACCCUCAUUGUGCUAUGAGGAGGAAUGGGCUGACUCAAUGCCACACCUCCCACACAUUCUUAUGUCCGACUUAGAACAGUGAGACUACAGACGUUGGCAAUUGACCGUCGCACUGGUGCGGUUCUAGCAAACAAGUUUUACUAGAGGAUUUCUCUACGUAGUAAGCCAAUUGAAAUUAUUUUUGGUGAUCUUUCAACAAUAAAGGUCUUCACCAGACACAGUCACACACUCAUACAUACGUAGGCCUACAUCUCAUCCGUCUUUCCCCAGUCUUUCCUGUGUCUCCCCCCUUUCAGACAAAGGAAACAGUGCCUGGGUCAGAUAACCAACCCCCCUCUCUCUCCAGAGACCACUUCCUGUUGCUGUGUUUGUGUGUGUGUGUGUGUCUGUCUUUUCUCCCCCUUCUCAUCUGUCUGACCAUCCCUAAGACACCUGACCCCUCUCCUACCUCGGCCUGGCUCUGCCAGGUGUGGGUCUGUAUCCUGCCCACCUCCCGCUCUCUCAUUCUGUCUGUCUAUUCAUAGCGCCCUCAUUGAACAUGUUUUGGGGCACAGACUCUUGUGUGGUUAUUUCUUUCAACCUCCGCUCUGUCUGUGGCCUGUAUCAAAACUCCAUGAAUACAUGUUAUGCCAAAAGUUCAAAUACAUCAAGGCAGAUGUAUUCUAAUGGGAUUGUUAUUUCAAACUCUGGGUGGCCUUGGUACCUAUUCUGAAUCUCAG